ensembl:lncRNA
GGAGAGGCUGUGUCACAGUAAAUCAUAGGGCUGUUAUUUGAAAGCAAACUCCUCUCUUUUGGCAGCCUGAGGAGCUCUGGAGGUGCUGCAUUCAGUCAGCUCGGCUCUCUGGGAGGUGCUUCCAGGACAAUGUGUGGUUCAGAGCUCACAAUGGCUCCUGCUGAGCAGCCUCCCUACUGAUUCACAGCAAAUUUUACAUCAAGAAGUUCCUCUAGUCUCUUACAUUGGUUGGAGGAGACAUCCAGACGUGGGGUAGCGAGCCAGCAUUCACAGGCUGUCCCUGCAUGUCAUCUGCUUCGGCUGUGCUGGGAUCUCACUGAACCCAGCAGUCACCCUGAGUGUGGGAGCAUGAAAAGAGAAGAGGGAAAAUAGAACUGCGCUUGAUUUCAUUGAAAUUUGGAGCUGACAGAAGCUGAAACAAAGCAGAAAUAAUGCAGGCCAUUGUCUGUGAAGUGCAUGGAAAGCUGCUCUCCUUUACAGCAGACUUUAGGUCUGAGCGCAAAGCCAUUCAUGCUGUGAAGGUUGAAUCCUGGCAGGUCAGUGACAGCGCUGGGUAUGACACCAUGUUGGGUAUGACUGUGCAGGGUAACAGUAUGUUACCACAGGCAACAGCAGCCACAGGAACUGAAUGCUCUUCAAGGCCUCUGUGUCUGAUUUCUUUCCUUUCUGCAGAGUCCCCUCUGCCCGGCUCUGUGACUGUACCCCACCUCUCUGCCCUUCUGAGGGAUGGGGCUCAGCUCCAGUCUGACCUCAGUCCUGAGAGCCAAAGGCAUUGCUGGCAGCUUCUUCAGCUGAUGCUGAAUGGGUGAAGAGCUUUAGUUUUGUGCCUGCAUCACUGAAGGUGGCAUUAACUGGAUGCUGAGCUGAGUCAGCAGGCAUUGGGAAGGAAUCCUUAGCGGUGUCAGUGGGGGGUCCUGUCUGGGUCGGAGAUUAAUCACUUUGUCAAGGGUACAGAGUGCUGCACGUGGAAGGGACACACAUUUAGAGGCUGCACUGACUCAUGGCAGAGUUCGCAGAGCUGAGAUCAGACUGCAGAAUUAUUACUUCCUAAAUAAGCUCUGUCUGCACUGAAUGCAUCGGUGUUAUUGCCAUCAGCAGAAAUAGAAGGAAUUAGCUGUCAGGGAGUGUUUCCAAUUUAAAUGUUAGCAGCUGUUAUUAUUUCAGUGUGGCAAAUUUUAUGAUUUUGCCUACAAGUCUGCUCUUGGUAAAU